rnacentral:lncRNA from 10 species
CUAACGGCAGAGUCCGAGGCUGUAACCUGGGGUGGCCAGAGCCAGGACACCCCUCUUUCCUCUCUAUGCCCUGCGGGGCCAGGUUUGGGGGCACAGUGGAGAUGAAGCACCCUCCUGGUGGCAGACCUCACUUGCUUGAGGCCUCAAGGAACGCGGAAUGUAACCAGAGCUAAGCACAGGCGCUGAGAGCCCUCUAUGGGCUCUUCCAAUUACAAUGUUGUGAUUAGCCACACUUCCUGCUUGGAAAACAGGCAGGCAGAUAUUUAAAAGGGAAAUCCUACUGUGAGGUUUGGAUGGGAUUUCAAAUGAAUUUUUUCUGCAAAUAAGAUUAAAGGCAGAAAGAGGAAGGGAUGCUAUUCAAAACUUUCCCGAGGGCUAGGGCUUGUUGAGCUAUAGAACAAAGGAUGCCCAGAGACCCCGGGAGCUCCAGCUCCCUAUAACUUCAUGAUAUGCUGGACUUUCCCAAGCGAGUGACUUUAACCAUCAUUCAGAUUGGGUGGGCAGUGGAGACAUGGACAAGACCUUAAAAUGUUUUUUUUUUUUUUUUGGUACAAGAAGAUUCUCUUAAGCAGGUUUGUUGCUGUCAGCAAACAACUGUUGAGCAUCUAGCGGGGACACCUCAGGAAAUUGUUUGGGUGACUGGGCAAGUUGUGUAAUCUCUGUCGUCUUAGUUUCCUCAUCAGGAAAUUGGGAUAACCAUAGGACUUAUCUCAAAGGAUUGUUGUAUGAUGGGAGUGAAUGCUUAUAGAGCACUUAAAGCAGAAGCCGGCACACACUCAGCCUUCAGGAAAUGUGAGCUCUUGUUCUCCUGAGGAAUUCAUCAAUAUUGUAGGUCAAAGAGCUCAUAGUCAGGUUUGCCAAGGUCAUCGCAAGUCACGGUGAAAGUCUAUGGCUUUCUAUUACGUGUUCAGGUUUAAAAGAGUGAUUGCUUUAUAUACUCAACAUUUUCUGGAAAUACAAAUGUACGUUUUGAAAUUUAGUCCCAAAAGGUAGUUUACAGCACCCUCCAUUGUGGUGGUGAUGACCCACAUGCUGAAAGAAAGCACGUUGUAUUUAAUACAAAGGCUGCAAAAAACCUGCUUGAACAUUAAACUUUACAGAGGAACACAUAAAAUGCACUGGAGCAAAAAUUCCUCAACUCUUCUGCCACCAGCAGAUGGGGUUAAGGGUCCCUUAGUCUCUCUUUGGACUUAAGGAAAAUGUGGACUUCUGGACAACCUUUGUAAGGACACUACCUUCUGUACUUUUUUUUUUGCCCUAGGACUUUGGGAAAACAGAUUCCAAUCAUACAGAGAUAUGACCCAGAAUAUUAAAAAAAAAUCUAGUGUU